UGAAUCGAUGGAAAAGAGAUGGGUGGAUGGCGAGGACAACAAUCUGAUGGCAAUAAUUUCUUUUUUAAAAUCCUUUUUCAUCCCAUUAAGUGAGUGUGUGUGUGUGUGUGUGUGUGUGUGUGUGUGGUCUGUGCCCUUCAA